rnacentral:rRNA from 1 species
UACGAAGGGGGCUAGCGUUGCUCGGAAUCACUGGGCGUAAAGGGUGCGUAGGCGGUCGGGUAAGUCUGAUGUGAAAUCUCACAGCUUAACUGUGAAACUGCAUUGGAUACUAUCCGGCUCGAGGAAUGGAGGGGAGACUGGAAUACUUGGUGUGGCAGUGAAAUGCGUAGAUAUCAAGUGGAACACCAGUGGCGAAGGCGAGUCUCUGGACAUUUCCUGACGCUGAGGCACGAAAGCCAGGGGAGCAAACGGG